CUGGAUUACUGCACUUGUCUCCUGGCUCAUCUCCCUGCUUCUGCCUGCCGCGCUUCGGUUUAUUCUCAACACAGUCCACUUAAAACAAACUGGAGACGAGGCCACCACUCCUCCAUUCAAGCUUUCACUGGCUGCCAUCUAUUUCUAGGAUGAUGCAGCAAGAAGGGCCUCAUUGGAUGCAGCCCCUCAAUCUUGGACUUCCCAGUCUCCAGAACCAUGAGCCAAAUAAAUU
rnacentral:lncRNA from 1 species